GUCCACGCCGUAAACGAUGAGUACUAGGUGUUGCGGGUAUUGACCCCUGCAGUGCCGCAGCUAACGCAUUAAGUACUCCGCCUGGGAAGUACGGUCGCAAGACUAAACUCAAAGGAAUUGACGGGGCCCGCACAAGCGGUGGAGCAUGUGGUUUAAUUCGACGCAACGCGCAGAACCUUACCUGGGCUUGACAUCUACGGAACCCUCCCGAAACGGAGGGGUGCCUUUCGGGGAGCCGUAAGACAGGUGCUGCAUGGCUGUCGU
rnacentral:rRNA from 1 species